GAUUUCAUUUGAAAAAGUCAUCAAUAACAAAGUAGUAUAACACAUCAAGAUCUAUAACUUCUAUUUUGGUCAUUUCUUCAUCCGACAAAGUGAUUUGUAAGAUUGUUCACAAAAUGUACAUCUCUUAUAUAGUUCUAUAUAAGAGAUGUACAUUUUGUGAACAAUCUUACAAAUUAAUUUGUCGGAUGAAGAAAUGACCAAAAUAGAAGUUAUAGACCUUGAUGAGUUAUACAACUUUGUUAUUGAUAACUUUUUCAGUUGAAAUC
rnacentral:pre_miRNA from 1 species